CCAGGCACUGUUUUGUUCUGCUGGACCCAGGGUCACUAGGAGUUGCAACCAACUCAACAGCACCUUACAACAACAACAAUAUACAAUGCCAACAAAUUAUAUUGGAACAUUAUAUUACAUGUAAUUAGCAUUCUCGAAACACUUAAUGAAGAAUAUGUAACAUAGAACAUACUGAUUUUUGGCAGUCUCUUGUAGGCAGAAAUACUCUGCCUUUUUAUUUCAGUUUAACUGUUUAUCAGAAAAAUAAAUAACUUGCUUUCAAAUGGUUGAACCUACUAUUACAAGUAAUGGAGUCUAAGAGGCUACCACAUUAUUUAAGGUGAAUGUUCAAAAUCAAAUGACUUAUUCACUUUAAAGAAAAAAGGGAAAAACCAUUUAUUUUUAUAUUACAAUUAUGUACACAUAACAAUUGAAUGGCUUUAUAUAAACUCAUCUAGAAAACCAUAUAAAUUUAUACACAGUAAUCUACAUAUAAGGAGUCCCAGUAGCAUAAUGGUUAAGUGCUCCACUGCUAACCAAAAGGUCAGUGGUUCAAACCCACCAGCGGCUCCAAGGGAGAAAAGAUGUGGUGGUCUGCUCCCAUAAAGAUUACAGCUUAGAAAACCCUAUGGGGCAGUUCUACUGUGUCAUAUAGGAUCACUAUGAGUCAGAAUUGACAGCACACAACAACACCAAUCUACAUAAUAUAUAUAGAAGAUGUAUACACAGAUAUAGUAUAUAAACACAUGGUUUUGAUGAUUAUACCACAUUCCAGCUUAUUUCCAUAUACUCAAAUCUGGGAAACUUCAGAUUUGGGAAAACCCACAUUCAAAAUACGUGUACCUUUUCCCAGAUUCUUUGUUUCCAAGAUAAACUAAACAAUGGCACAAACUGUGAGAAAAACAAAUUAAUAAGCAAUGAAAAGAGCUGGCACAAUAACCAAAAUGAAACGGAAAGGCCUCCCGAAGACUUACAAGCGAACAACACGUGUCUCAGCCAUCUAAAGUCAUGGUGUGAUAUUCGAUCCUAUAAUCUGCUUCUGGGGGUAAGAAUUCUACUAGAAAUGUAAUUGGCUUUAAUAUUUUGACCUGUUAAUUGAAUUUUUAAAAACUGAAAUACACACUAGAUUGCCCAUUAUGCCACACAUCAUUAAAAAGAAAUUUAAGUCUUUCCGACUCAAAUCAUAGCUAGCCUUCCAUAAGGACUUAGCUAUAAUGAUACACAGGACUGUCUUGUUCAUAACAAUUCACAUGUGAUAACAAUGAGACACUUAGACCAAGAAUAAUGUAGAAUUCCGAAUCCAAUACUUUCACUUUAUGUCUUCAGUGAAAUAUAUUAUGCUUCUGUGUUAACCGAAGUUAACUGUGUUACUUUCUUUUGUCAUUUUUAGUGCCACUGAUAAAAAAAAGUCUUCCCUUUCUCUAUUCCAGGUUUAAGAUCAGGAGUACACAGGAAGAGGAAGUAAAGAAUUAAAGGAAAAGUCAUAGUGAUCAUAAAAAUAACAAAAGGCCUGCCUUGACAUCACAGGCCAGUUCCCUACAGAGGUUACUUGUACCUUUACAAAAGAAGAGGAAGGAAAGAAAAACUUGUAUGUGUGCUGAAUGUUCAGCAAUAAAUUUACUACCCAGCUGUCUGGCACUUGAAAACAAACUGCAUUAUUUUUGUAGUAGGGCCAUAAUUCAGUUCUCAAGAAAACCAGACAUUUAAAAGUCCAAUAAAAGGGAUGGAGUUGGAGCUCAUCACCAGGAACAGACUGAAUACCUGCGUGUGCCCAUAGUGGUGUAACUUACAAGCAAGUAAUCCACUGUGUGUUGUGAUGGAAAGAGAGGAUUGAGAACUGUUUUACCAGGGCACACAAAUUCUGUUGACUCUGGAGGGCCUUUGGACUCUCUAGCUCCUGGUUUCUUAGUUUUUUGGGAAUAUAAUCCAUCUCCCUGAAAUUAGCAUCUUGUAAUGUGCUUCAAGUUGGCUUGUUAGUAUGACUUCUAUUAUCUCAGCUUUUUUGGUGUAAUAUUUAUGGAGCAUCUACUAUGUGACAGGCACAUCACUCAACUUUGCUUCCUCCUUGCUCAUGCUAAUAACCACAGAAUUGGAAGUUGAGAAAUACUAAUUUAUUUGAAAUGCUAGAAAGUGUGUUAAGUUACAAUAAUUAUAAUAAAUGAAUUCUAAAAGGUGUGUAACCUGAAAAAUGUUUGUAUACAUAAAUAAAUAUUACAGGAUGUAUAUGUAUAUGAAAGUGAUACACGCCUGUCAUGUGUUACUGGUUGGGGAACACCUCAAGGCUUCCCCAAAGACUGUCCACAUAAACCAGCUUAGCUCAGGGUCCUCUCAGAAGGGUCCAAUAAACAUUUGUUCAUGGUGAUGAUGAUGAUGCUAAUGAUUUUAAAGAUGGUGCUAGGAGCUGGACCCCUUGUAGGAAUAUCUGCAUAGGAAAGAAUCAAUGUAGUUUGAAAAAAGCAAAAUAAACAUUUUAAAUAAUUUGAUAUGUUUUGUCAAGAUCUUUACUUCACUUUGAAAUUUCAAAAAGAAAAUAAUGUUAGAUGGUUAUACAAAUUGAAAAAGAGUUUAAGUAUAAAAUAUUUUAAGACACAGAAACUGAUCCUAGGCAAAUGGAGGGAGACAGGUUUCUCACUGUUAAGGGUGGAAGGUUACAGACAAGCAAAGGGGUAAUCCUAGAAUGAUUUAUGUGGUAUUGGAUUAAGGCUGGAGACAUCAGUAUGAACUCACGUUUAGCUUAAUAUAUAUACAGAUGGAUAUAUAGACAACUAUGUGGUUAAGAGCUCGGGUGCUAACCAAAGGGUAAGCAGUUCGAAUCCACUAGCAGCUCCUUGGAAACCCUAUGGAGCAGUUCUACUCUGUCCUAUAGAGUU